CCCUUUGGGGUGUGACUGCGUACCUUUUGUAUAAUGGGUCAGCGACUUAUAUUCUGUAGCAAGGUUAACCGUAUAGGGGAGCCGGAGGGAAACCGAGUCUUAAUUGGGCGUUAAGUUGCAGGGUAUAGACCCGAAACCCGGUGAUCUAGCCAUGGGCAGGUUGAAGGUUGGGUAACACUAACUGGAGGACCGAACCGACUAAUGUUGAAAAAUUAGCGGAUGACCUGUGGCUGGGGGUGAAAGGCCAAUCAAACCGGGAGAUAGCUGGUUCUCCCCGAAAGCUAUUUAGGUAGCGCCUCGUGAAUUCAUCUCCGGGGGUAGAGCACUGUUUCGGCUAGGGGGCCAUCCCGGCUUACCAACCCGAUGCAAACUGCGAAUACCGGAGAAUGUUAUCACGGGAGACACACGGCGGGUGCUAACGUCCGUCGUGAAGAGGGAAACAACCCAGACCGCCAGCUAAGGUCCCAAAGUCAUGGUUAAGUGGGAAACGAUGUGGGAAGGCCCAGACAGCCAGGAUGUUGGCUUAGAAGCAGCCAUCAUUUAAAGAAAGCGUAAUAGCUCACUGGUCGAGUCGGCCUGCGCGGAAGAUGUAACGGGGCUAAACCAUGCACCGAAGCUGCGGCAGCGACACUCAGGUGUUGUUGGGUAGGGGAGCGUUCUGUAAGCCUGCGAAGGUGGCCUGUGAGGGUUGCUGGAGGUAUCAGAAGUGCGAAUGCUGACAUAAGUAACGAUAAAGCGGGUGAAAAGCCCGCUCGCCGGAAGACCAAGGGUUCCUGUCCAACGUUAAUCGGGGCAGGGUGAGUCGACCCCUAAGGCGAGGCCGAAAGGCGUAGUCGAUGGGAAACGGGUUAAUAUUCCCGUACUUGGUGUUACUGCGAAGGGGGGACGGAGAAGGCUAUGUUGGCCGGGCGACGGUUGUCCCGGUUUAAGCGUGUAGGUGUGUGUUCCAGGUAAAUCCGGUUCACUUUAACACUGAGGUGUGACGACGAGGCACUACGGUGCUGAAGCAACAAAUGCCCUGCUUCCAGGAAAAGCCUCUAAGCAUCAGGUAACAUCAAAUCGUACCCCAAACCGACACAGGUGGUCAGGUAGAGAAUACCAAGGCGCUUGAGAGAACUCGGGUGAAGGAACUAGGCAAAAUGGUGCCGUAACUUCGGGAGAAGGCACGCUGACACGUAGGUGAAGUGAUUUACUCAUGGAGCUGAAGUCAGUCGAAGAUACCAGCUGGCUGCAACUGUUUAUUAAAAACACAGCACUGUGCAAACACGAAAGUGGACGUAUACGGUGUGACGCCUGCCCGGUGCCGGAAGGUUAAUUGAUGGGGUCAGCGCAAGCGAAGCUCCUGAUCGAAGCCCCGGUAAACGGCGGCCGUAACUAUAACGGUCCUAAGGUAGCGAAAUUCCUUGUCGGGUAAGUUCCGACCUGCACGAAUGGCGUAAUGAUGGCCAGGCUGUCUCCACCCGAGACUCAGUGAAAUUGAACUCGCUGUGAAGAUGCAGUGUACCCGCGGCAAGACGGAAAGACCCCGUGAACCUUUACUAUAGCUUGACACUGAACAUUGAGCCUUGAUGUGUAGGAUAGGUGGGAGGCUUUGAAGUGUGGACGCCAGUCUGCAUGGAGCCGACCUUGAAAUACCACCCUUUAAUGUUUGAUGUUCUAACGUGGACCCGUGAUCCGGGUUGCGGACAGUGUCUGGUGGGUAGUUUGACUGGGGCGGUCUCCUCCUAAAGAGUAACGGAGGAGCACGAAGGUUGGCUAAUCCUGGUCGGACAUCAGGAGGUUAGUGCAAUGGCAUAAGCCAGCUUGACUGCGAGCGUGACGGCGCGAGCAGGUGCGAAAGCAGGUCAUAGUGAUCCGGUGGUUCUGAAUGGAAGGGCCAUCGCUCAACGGAUAAAAGGUACUCCGGGGAUAACAGGCUGAUACCGCCCAAGAGUUCAUAUCGACGGCGGUGUUUGGCACCUCGAUGUCGGCUCAUCACAUCCUGGGGCUGAAGUAGGUCCCAAGGGUAUGGCUGUUCGCCAUUUAAAGUGGUACGCGAGCUGGGUUUAGAACGUCGUGAGACAGUUCGGUCCCUAUCUGCCGUGGGCGCUGGAGAACUGAGGGGGGCUGCUCCUAGUACGAGAGGACCGGAGUGGACGCAUCACUGGUGUUCGGGUUGUCAUGCCAAUGGCACUGCCCGGUAGCUAAAUGCGGAAGAGAUAAGUGCUGAAAGCAUCUAAGCACGAAACUUGCCCCGA
rnacentral:rRNA from 1 species